UGGGAUUGAAGCACAUCUAAGAGAGUGUGA
rnacentral:piRNA from 1 species